rnacentral:RNase_P_RNA from 1 species
GGAGUCGGCCAGGCAAUCGCUGCCCGUCAUUAGAUGGGGGGAGGAAAGUCCGGGCUCCAUAGGGUAGAACGCCAGGUAACGCCUGGGGGGCGCGAGCCUACGGAAAGUGCAGCAGAGAGUAGACCGCCUAAGUUUUCUUCGGAAAACCGGUAAGGGUGAAAGGGUGCGGUAAGAGCGCACCGCGCAACGGGUAACCGUUUGCGGCAUGGUAAACCCCGUUCGGAGCAAGACCAAAUAGGCCCACUACAGGUGUGACCCGCACUGUGGGCGGGUAGGUUGCUGGAGGUGUGUGGUGACGCACGCCCUAGAGGAAUGAUUGCCCACGACAGAACCCGGCUUAUCGGCCGGCUCCCCAG